rnacentral:rRNA from 1 species
AGCGAACGCUGGCGGCAGGCCUAACACAUGCAAAUCGAACGGACCCUUCGGGGUAGUGGCGGACGGGUGAGUAACACGUGGGAACGUGCCUUUUGGUUCGGAACAACUCAGGGAAACUUGAGCUAAUACCGAAUGUGCCCUUCGGGGGAAAGAUUUAUCGCCAUUAGAGCGGCCCGCGUCUGAUUAGCUUGUUGGUGAGGUAAUGGCUCACCAAGGCGACGAUCCGUAGCGGGUCUGAGAGGAUGAUCAGCAACAUUGGGACUGAGACACGGCCCAAACUCCUACGGGAGGCAGCAGUGGGGAAUCUUGCGCAAUGGGCGAAAUCCUGACGCAGCCAUGCCGCGUGAAUGAUGAAGGUCUUAGGAUUGUAAAAUUCUUUCACCGGGGACGAUAAUGACGGUACCCGGAGAAGAAGCCCCGGCUAACUUCGUGCCAGCCGCCGCGGUAAAAC